rnacentral:lncRNA from 1 species
UUCUUCCAGAGGCCUAAGAUUGGAUCUCAGCACCCACAUGGUGGCUCACAAUCAUUGUAACUCCAGAUCCCGGGGACCUCUUCUGGAAACUGUGCCUCUUGUACACAUUGCGCACAGACAUACAUGCGAUAAAACACUCAUACACAUAAAAUAAGAUAAAAAAAUUUGUAAAUGUAAAAAUCUGCUGCCUCUGUGAUGUGCUCAGCACAUCCUUGGAGUGUGCAGCCAGUAGCCAGCAGAGCCCUGUGCUUGCUCGCUGUGCCUGCCAAAGGAAAGAGCAGGCUUACAAGUCAGUUGGGACGAGGAUACCAAGAGAACUGCCUAAUGGAAGAAAUCUGUUUGCUUCUAACUUAUAAUAUGAACAACCUCAGCAGACAGAUCAAAGCCUGUGGAAACUUCUACUGCCCUAAAGCAGUCUACAAAACAGCACUUCUGAGAGACAUUUAAGGCAUAUUUGGUCCGCUCCUUUAGAAAAGUUCAUAUCAAAAACUUCUGGGAAGUGUUCUGUAUUACAUCUGUCGCUGGGAUUCAUGUUGCAGAGGGGAAAAAAAAAACUCUGAAAAUCCCUCAAAAUGUUGAUUUCACCUAUCCAAUGCUUAGAAACUUGCUUGUUGAUAGAAACUUGUGUUCAAAGAGUAUUAAUUUCCAUUGUCCAUAACACACUUGGGAAAUGCUGGGAACAAAGCAGGUCUUGGUUGUGGUCCUGACUCUGCAAAAAUUUGUAGGCUUGCUUUUUCUUUGAACUUCAAGUCCCUCAUCUGCAAAAUAAGAGAGUCAGAAUCAAUGAUCUAGAGAGGGGAAAUAUAAUACAUAGCUGCCAUGUAAGAUAUGGUUAUGACAUCAGGUCUCUAUACUUACAAGAGCCCUAUACUUGACUUAAUUGUUUAUUUAUUUACUUAUUUACUUCCAUACAUACUUACUUAUUCACUCAUGUAUCUGUUUUAUCUUUAUGGGCUGUUGUGCAUCUAUGUGCACUUGCUUGGAUUAUGUAUGUAGCUGCCAGAGAGCAGCAGUGGUGUCUUCCUCUAUCGGUCUCUACCUUAUUCCUUUCCCC